CCCUUAAAAUGUGUCAAAACUAUUUAACCAUCUCCCUCUACGCCACUUUCUUUUUAGCAGAGCGAUUGAUUUUUCAUUCAUCCCAGAAGUCUCAUUCCAAGUGCACAAAUGGAAGAGCCAUAUGUGGAUCGUUCAAGCUUACCCAGGCUGCAUCCUUCUCGGUUAAAUGGAGCUAAAUGGUUUAAACACCACACCCAAGUAUCAACCGUUGUCUGAAAGGUCAUCCAAAGUUGUUUUAAGGGACCAUGGUACUCAUGGAAAAGAGUGCCGGCCUUCUACAAGAGAACUUGGUUUUCUCUCUUCAUGAAAAAGUUUAACUGGGAUGCUUCUAUCAACUAUCAAGUUGAACGAGAGUUCACUAAGCUUGCUGCAUAUCGCCUCAAAGGAAUGAUAAGCCAUGCUAAGAAGGGAGGAGAAAAACCAGAUUGGAUUUUGUCUGAUUAUUGGACGAUUAUGCAAGCACAUUGGGCAACAGCAAAAGCAAAAGCAACCAGUGAGAAGGCUCGUGCUUCUCGAAUGUCUGAUCGCAAUGGUUUAGGCCACAUUCCCACCUAGCUGGUUCACGUUCAUAUGUCAAAGUUCAAGAUGUUUUGGAAGCAAACAAUGAAGACUGCUCCUUUAUUGCUGUGAUGAAGAAAACACAUCAAAAGCCUGAUGGGACAUACGUUGAUCAACGAGCACGUUUGGUGGCAGAAACUUAUGAGAAGCAUGUACAAGAACGCUUGGGACAACUAGAAAUUUCUGGUGAAGAGAAUGUGACACCUGAAACUCUUGACAAGAAUGAGAAAAAUGAAAUUUAUAUGAAGGUUGCAGGAUCAUCUAAACAAGGGCAUAUCUUUGGACUUGGAGCGAUAAGUGAAGCUUUACCAUCUGUUGGUGCCUCUUCAAGUGCACCACAAACUGAAGAAGUAGAGACGAUAACACAUCGACUAGAAGAGAUGGAAGCUGAUCUUAAAAAGAGUCUUGAAGAAAAUCAGCAAAUUCAGAAAAGACUUGAAGCUAUGGAAAAACUUGUUGAGGCUUUUGCAAGUCAAAAUGCCUAGAUCCUACUCCACCACCAAGAGGUCCAAGACUGUCCAUUCCCCCUUAUCUAGUUAUUAUGGUUUCUAUGUAUCUUUGCUAUUGUUUAGUUUGUAUUUUCUUUAAAUUGUGUUUAUGGAUUAACUUUGUAUUUGGAUGUUAGUUUGUUAUGUAAAUAUUAUCUUUUACUUGUUA